rnacentral:rRNA from 1 species
GAUGAACGCUGGCGGCGUGCCUAAUACAUGCAAGUCGAGCGAACGGACGAGAAGCUUGCUUCUCUGAUGUUAGCGGCGGACGGGAGAGUAACACGUGGUUAACCUAACUAUAAGACUGGGAUAACUUCGCGAAGCCGUAGCUAAUACCGGAUAAUAUUUUGCACCGCAUGGUUCAAAAGUGAAAGACGCUCUUGCUGUCACUUAUAGCUGGAUCAGCGCUGCAUUAGCUAGUUGGUAAGGUAACUGCUUACCAAGGCAACGAUGCAUAGCCGACCUGAGAGGGUGAUCGGCCAGACCGGAAGUGAGACACGGUCCAGACACCUACGGGAAGAAGCAGUAGGGAAUCUUCCGCAAUGGGCGAGUGCCUGACGGAGCAACGUCGCGUGAGUGAUGAAGGUCUACUGAUCGUAAAGCUCUGUUAUUAGGGAAGUACAUAUGUGUAAGUAACUGUGAUCAUCAUGACGGUACCUAAUCAGAAAGCCACGGCUAACUACGUG